rnacentral:misc_RNA from 1 species
AAAGUCGUAACAAGGUUUCCGUAGGUGAACCUGCGGAAGGAUCAUUAUCACGUAUCCACGUAUAAACCAAACUGUGAACUGUUCUCUUGCCUUUGGAAAUGGAAAGUUGAGACUGUGUGUGUGUUUAGAGCACAAACUCGUCUUUUAGUGUGGUUUUUCAGAUGAGCACAGCUUUUCUCGCCUUCGUAUCAACGAUAACAUGGCUUUCCUUCCAAAGCGUAUUAUAAUAAUCACACAUUACUCUUUUUAUUAACCAAUUGAACCCCCUUUUAUUUAACUAUUAAUACUGAAUUGUUUCUUACUUGCGCCUCUCUGGUGCGAGAAGAAAUUUACAUACGAAACUAAGAAACAACUCUUAGCAACGGAUAUCUUGGCUCUC